GAACGUGCCCAGUCGUGGGRGAUAACGCAGCGAAAGCUGCGCUAAUACCGCAUACGAUCUGCGGAUGAAAGCGGGRGACCUUCGGGCCUCGCGCGAUUGGAGCGGCCGAUGUCAGAUUAGGUAGUUGGUGGGGUAAAGGCUCACCAAGCCAACGAUCUGUAGCUGGUCUGAGAGGACGACCAGCCACACUGGGACUGAGACACGGCCCAGACUCCUACGGGAGGCAGCAGUGGGGAAUUUUGGACAAUGGGCGCAAGCCUGAUCCAGCAAUGCCGCGUGCAGGAAGAAGGCCUUCGGGUUGUAAACUGCUUUUGUACGGAACGAAACGGUCUGAGUUAAUACCUCGGGCUAAUGACGGUACCGUAAGAAUAAGCACCGGCUAACUACGUGCCAGCAGCCGCGGUAAUACGUAGGGUGCAAGCGUUAAUCRRAAUUACUGGGCGUAAAGCGUGCGCAGGCGGUUUUGUAAGACAGGCGUGAAAUCCCCGGKCUCAACCUGRGAAUGGCGCUUGUGACUGCAAAGCURGAGUGCGGCAGAGGGRGAUGGAAUUCCGCGUGUAGCAGUGAAAUGCGUAGAUAUGCGGAGGAACACCGAUGGCGAAGGCAAUCCCCUGGGYCUGCACUGACGCUCAUGCACGAAAGCGUGGAGAGCAAACAGGAUUAGAUACCCUGRUAGUCCACGCYCUAAACGAUGUCAACUGGUUGUUGGSUCUCUUCUGACUCAGUAACGAAKCUAACGCGUGAAGUUGACCG
rnacentral:rRNA from 1 species